rnacentral:rRNA from 1 species
UGAAUUGACGGGACCCGCACAAGCGGUGGAUGAUGUGGUUUAAUUCGAUGCAACGCGAAAAACCUUACCCACCUUUGACAUGUACGGAACCCUUUAGAGAUAGAGGGGUGCUCGAAAGAGAGCCGUAACACAGGUGCUGCAUGGCUGUCGUCAGCUCGUGUCGUGAGAUGUUGGGUUAAGUCCCGCAACGAGCGCAACCCUUGUCAUUAGUUGCUACAUUCAGUUGGGCACUCUAAUGAGCUGCCGGUGACAAGCCGGAGGAAGGUGGGGAUGACGUCAAGUCCUCAUGGCCCUUAUAGGUGGGGCUACACACGUCAUACAAUGGCUGGUACAAAGGGUUGCCAACCCGCGAGGGGGAGCCAAUCCCAUAAAGCCAGUCGUAGUCCGGAUCGUAGUCUGCAACUCGACUACGUGAAGUCGGAAUCGCUAGUAAUCGUGGAUCAGAAUGUCACGGUGAAUACGUUCCCGGGUCUU